GUCUUGUUCCAUCUUGUGUGAUGUUUGGAGUCAAAACAGAGAAAAUCUAUAAAGGGUCCAAGGACGGACUGUUUAGAGCCUCAUUCUGUGCGGUCACCGGCAGAAGUCUCCACCAUGGCCUGCCAGGGUGUCUGGUGCUGUCUAGUGAUUCUCAGUGCAUUUCUGAUUAGAGGUUCUGCAGCAGAACAAGAUCAGUUUCACUAUGAUUAUAUGAGGCUCCGGAUGGGAGGUCUGAUCUUUGCUGGUGUCAUGCUGACUAUUGGGGUUAUUAUCCUGCUGACUGAUUUUAACCUAUUUAAAAAGAAGAAAAAGGAGCCAUGUAAA